ensembl:lncRNA
AGGUAGCCUAGUGGUUAGAGUGUAGAGGGGGCAGGUAGCCUAGUGGUUAGAGUGUAGGGACGGUAGGUAGCCUAGUGGUUAGAGUGUAGAGGGGGCAGGGUAGCCUAGUGGUUAGAGUGUAGGGGAGGCAGGUAGCCUAGUGGUUAGAGUGUAGAGGGGGCAGGGUAGCCUAGUGGUUAGAGUGUAGAGGGGGCAGGGUAGCCUAGUGGUUAGAGUGUAGAGGAGGCAGGUAGCCUAGUGGUUAGAGUGUAGAGGAGGCAGGUAGCCUAGUGGUUAGAGUGUAGAGGGGGCAGGGUAGCCUAGUGGUUAGAGUGUAGAGGAGGCAGGUAGCCUAGUGGUUAGAGUGUAGAGGGGGCAGGGUAGCCUAGUGGUUAGAGUGUAGGGGAGGCAGGUAGCCUAGUGGUUAGAGUGUAGAGGAGGCAGGUAGCCUAGUGGUUAGAGUGUAGGGGAGGCAGGUAGCCUAGUGGUUAGAGUGUAGGGGCGGCAGGUAGCCUA